CACGUAGGGCGCAAGCGUUGUCCGGAAUUAUUGGGCGUAAAGAGCUCGUAGGCGGUCUGUUGCGUCCGCUGUGAAAACUCGGGGCUUAACCCCGAGCCUGCAGUGGAUACGGGCAGACUAGAGGUAGGUAGGGGAGAAUGGAAUUCCCGGUGUAGCGGUGAAAUGCGCAGAUAUCGGGAGGAACACCAGUGGCGAAGGCGGCUGCCUGGGCCUGGCCUGACGCUGAGGCGCGAAAGCGUGGGGAGCAAUCCGG
rnacentral:rRNA from 1 species